rnacentral:rRNA from 1 species
GCAAAACGCGAAGAACCUUACCAGGCCUUGACAUGCAGAGAACUUUCCAGAGAUGGAUUGGUGCCUUCGGGAACUCUGACACAGGUGCUGCAUGGCUGUCGUCAGCUUGUGUCGUGAGAUGUUGGGUUAAGUCCCGUAACGAGCGCAACCCUUGUCCUUAGUUACCAGCACGUUAUGGUGGGCACUCUAAGGAGACUGCCGGUGACAAACCGGAGGAAGGUGGGGAUGACGUCAAGUCAUCAUGGCCCUUACGGCCUGGGCUACACACGUGCUACAAUGGUCGGUACAGAGGGUUGCCAAGCCGCGAGGUGGAGCUAAUCUCACAAAAACCGAUCGUAGUCCGGAUCGCAGUCUGCAACUCGACUGCGUGAAGUCGGAAUCGCUAGUAAUCGCGAAUCAGAAUGUCGCGGUGAAUACGUUCCCGGGUCUUGUACACACCG